rnacentral:rRNA from 1 species
UAGAGGAAGUAAAAGUCGUAACAAGGUUUCCGUAGGUGAACCUGCGGAAGGAUCAUUACUGAGGGAUAUAGGGUUUUGAGACUACGUUAGCGUGUGCUCGACCCUUAAUACUUUUGUUCCAUACACACCUUUGUGAACCAUGGGGAUCGUAAAAAGAUCCCCCUUUUAAUUAGAAACCAAGUUAUAUGCAUGUUGUUAUGUACGCUCUACGGAGUAAAUAUAAAUGUACAACUUUCAACAACGGAUCUCUUGGCUUUCGCAUCGAUGAAGAACGCAGCGAAUGUGCGAAACGUAAUGUGAAUUGCAGAAUUCAGUGAAUCAUCGAAUCUUUGAACGCAUCUUGCGCUCCUUGGUAUUCCGAGGAGCAUGCCUGUUUGAGUGUCGCGAAUUACUCUCAAUUUCAAUCUUUUUGUUUGGAAUUGGAUCUGGGCGUUGUUGUUGACUUUACGACUCGCCCUAAAUGCAUUAGUGAUUUGUCCAUUGAUCACAACGCAAUGUGAUAAAAAAAAAGCAUUGUUACGAUCUUGUGCGAAUCGCUUCUAACGGUCGUAAGACAAACAAAGCGUGCAUAUAUGCGCAUGUUUAUGUCGUUUGACCUCAAAUCAGGUAGGACUACCCGCUGAACUUAAGCAUAUCAAUAAGCGGAGGAAAAGAAACUAACAAGGAUUCCCUUAGUAACGGCGAGUGAAAAGGGAAAAGCUCAAAUUUUGAAUCUGGCGGUCUAUGACCGUCCGAGUUGUAAUCUAGAGAAGUGUUUUCCGCGCUGGACCGUGUACAAGUCCUUUGGAAUAAGGCGUCAUAGAGGGUGAGAAUCCCGUCUAAGACACGGACCACCAGUGCUUUGUGAUACACUCUCAACGAGUCGAGUUGUUUGGGAAUGCAGCUCAAAAUGGGUGGUAAAUUCCAUCUAAAGCUAAAUAUUGGCGAAAGACCGAUAGCGAACAAGUACCGUGAGGGAAAGAUGAAAAGCACUUUGGAAAGAGAGUUAAACAGUACGUGAAAUUGUUGAAAGGG